rnacentral:rRNA from 1 species
AUACGUAGGGGGCGAGCGUUGUCCGGAAUGAUUGGGCGUAAAGGGCGCGUAGGCGGCCCGGUAAGUCUGGAGUGAAAGUCCUGCUUUUAAGGUGGGAAUUGCUUUGGAUACUGUCGGGCUUGAGUGCAGGAGAGGUAAGUGGAAUUCCCAGUGUAGCGGUGAAAUGCGUAGAGAUUGGGAGGAACACCAGUGGCGAAGGCGACUUACUGGACUGUAACUGACGCUGAGGCGCGAAAGCCAGGGGAGCGAACGGGAUUAGAUACCCCGGUAGUCCUGGCCGUAAACGAUGAAUGCUAGGUGUGGGUGUCGAGAGGCAUCCGUGCCGGAGUUAACGCGAUAAGCAUUCCGCCUGGGGAGUACGAUCGCAAGAUUGAAACUCAAAGGAAUUGACGGGG